ACGGGAGGCAGCAGUGGGGAAUAUUGCACAAUGGGCGCAAGCCUGAUGCAGCGACGCCGCGUGAGCGAAGAAGUAUUUCGGUAUGUAAAGCUCUAUCAGCAGGGAAGAAAAUGACGGUACCUGACUAAGAAGCUCCGGCUAAAUACGUGCCAGCAGCCGCGGUAAUACGUAGGUGGCAAGCGUUGUCCGGAUUUACUGGGUGUAAAGGGUGCGCAGGCGGGACUGCAAGUUGGAUGUGAAAUACCGGGGCUCAACCCCGGAACUGCAUCCAAAACUGUAGUUCUUGGGUGGAGUAGAGGUAAGCGGAAUUCCGAGUGUAGCGGUGAAAUGCGUAGAUAUUCGGAGGAACACCAGUGGCGAAGGCGGCUUACUGGGCUCUAACUGACGCUGAGGCACGAAAGCAUGGGUAGCAAACAGGAUUAGAUACCCUGGUA
rnacentral:rRNA from 1 species